GUUCGAUCCUGGCUCAGAUUGAACGCUGGCGGGAUACUUACACAUGCAAGUCGAACGGCAGCACGGACUUCGGUCUGGUGGCGAGUGGCGAACAGGUGAGUAAUGUAUCGGAACGAUGCCGUGGCGGGGGAUAACUACGCGGCGUAGCUAAUACACCGCAUACUACGCCCUUCGAGGAAGCGCGCGGGACCUUCGGGCCUCGCACUGUGAAACGGCCGAUAUCGGAUUAGCUAGUUGGUGGGUAACGGCUCACCAAGGCGACGAUCCGUAGCUGGUUUGAGGACGACCAGCCACACUGGGACUGAACACGGCCAGACUCCUACGGGAGGCAGCAGUGGGAAUUUUGGACAAUAGAAACCUGAUCCAGCCAUCCCGUGUGCGAUGAAGGCCUUCGGGUUGUAAAAAACACUUUGGCGAAAGGAAAGAAACGGCACGGGAUAAUACCCGUGCAACUGACGGUACCUGCAGAAUAAGCACCGGCUAACUACGUGCCAGCAGCCGCGGUAAUACGUAGGGUGCAAGCGUUAAUCGAAUUACUGGGCGUAAAGCGUGCGACAGUUCAGGAAGAAAAGAUGUGAAAUCCCAGAGCUUAACUUUGGAACUGCAUUUUUAACUACCGAGCUAGAGUGUGUCAGAGGGAGGUGGAAUUCCGCGUGUAGCAGUGAAAUGCGUAGAUAUGCGGAGGAACACCGGUGGCGAAGGCAGCUCUGGAUAACACUGACGCUCAUGCACGAAAGCGUGGGGAGCAAACAGGAUUAGAUACCUGGUAGUCCACGCCCUAAACGAUGUCAACUAGCUGUUGGGGCCUUCGGGCGCUGGUAGCUGGCUAACGCGUGAAGUUGACCGCCUGGGAAAUACGGUCGCAGAUUAAAACUCAAAGGAAUUGACGGACCCACUGUGAUGGAUGAUGUGGAUUAAUUCGAUCCCAACGCGAAAACCUUACCUACCCUUGACAUGUCUGGAAUCGAAGAAGAGAUUUGGGAGUGCUCGCAAGAGAACCGGAACACAGGUGCUGCAUAGCUGUCGUCAGCUCGUGUCGUGAGAUGUUGGGUUAAGUCCCGCAACGAGCGCAACCCUUGUCAUUAGUUACUACGAAGAGGAGCACUCUAAUGAGACUGCCGGUGACAAUGGAGGAAGGUGGAAUGACGUCAAGUCCUCGCCAGCCCUUAUGGGUAGGGCUUCACACGUCAUACAAUGGUCGGGACAGAGGGUCGCCAACCCACGAGAAGGAAUAAUCCCAGAAGCCCGAUCGUAGUCCGGAUCGCAGUCUGCAACUCGACUGCGUAGUCGGAAUCGCUAGUAAUCGCGGAUCGGCAUGUCGCGGUGAAUACGUUCCCGGGUCUUGUACACACCGCCCGUCACACACCAUGGGAGUGGGUUUUACCGUGGAUUAGCCUAACCGUAAGGAGGGCGAUUACACGGUAGGAUUCAUGACUGGGGUGAAGUCAUAUAAGGUAUUAA
rnacentral:rRNA from 1 species